UCAGAUACUCUCAAGGAUGAGCUAGCCAGACAACCCCUCCCAGAGACUUUAGAACUCCUAAUAGAUGCUAGCAUCACAUUAGAUAGACGCAUCAGAGAGAGACGCUCAGAAAGGUCACACUUAGAAACAUCCACUAAACAUACAGUUACUACUCUGCUUCCACCUAAGACAACUACAAAAGCCUCUGAAAUCCCUAUGGAACUCGGUUUCAUCAGAGGUCCAUUAACUCUACAGGAAAAAUUAAGAAGAAAAGCUUUAGAUCUCUGUAUGUAUUGCGGAGGGAUCGAUCACUCUGUAAAGGACUGCUCUCAAUUACAGCGUAGGAAGGUGGGAUCAGCAAAGACUCAACUCACAAGCAAUCCUUGACUCUGGUGCCAGCCACAAUUAUAUAGAUCACCAAUUCACUACUGUAAAUAAAAUUCCACUAGUUAAGAAAA